GCCGGGGUGGCGGAAUUGGUAGACGCAAGGGACUUAAAAUCCCUCGAGGGUAACCUCGUGCCGGUUCGAUUCCGGCCCUCGGCA
rnacentral:tRNA from 1 species